rnacentral:rRNA from 1 species
GACGAACGCUGGCGGCGUGCUUAACACAUGCAAGUCGAACGGAAAGGCCCUUCGGGGUACUCGAGUGGCGAACGGGUGAGUAACACGUGGGUGAUCUGCCCUGCACUUUGGGAUAAGCCUGGGAAACUGGGUCUAAUACCGAAUAGGACCACGCGCUUCAUGGUGUGUGGUGGAAAGCUUUUGCGGUGUGGGAUGGGCCCGCGGCCUAUCAGCUUGUUGGUGGGGUAAUGGCCUACCAAGGCGACGACGGGUAGCCGGCCUGAGAGGGUGACCGGCCACACUGGGACUGAGAUAUGGCCCAGACUCCUACGGGAGGCAGCAGUGGGGAAUAUUGCACAAUGGGCGCAAGCCUGAUGCAGCGACGCCGCGUGAGGGAUGACGGCCUUCGGGUUGUAAACCUCUUUCAAUAGGGACGAAGCGCAAGUGACGGUACCUAUAGAAGAAGCACCGGCCAACUACGUG